rnacentral:rRNA from 1 species
UACCAGCACCCCGAGUGGUCGGGACGAUUAUUGGGCCUAAAGCAUCCGUAGCCGGCCUUACAAGUCCUCCGUUAAAUCCAGCUGCUUAACAGAUGGGCUGCGGAGGAUACUAUAAGACUAGGAGGCAGGAGAGGCAAGCGGUACUCAGUGGGUAGGGGUAAAAUCCGUUGAUCCAUUGAAGACCACCAGUGGCGAAGGCGGCUUGCCAGAAUGCGCUCGACGGUGAGGGAUGAAAGCUGGGG